AUGGACUGGACUUGGAGGAUCCUCUUCCUGGUGGCAGCAGUGACAGGUGCCCACUCCCAGGUCCAGCUGGUGCAGUCUGGGGCUGAGAUGAAGAAGCCUGGGUCCUCAGUGAAGGUCUCCUGCAAGGCUUCUGGUUACACCUUUACUAGCUCUGCUAUGCAGUGGGUGCGACAGACCCCUGGACAAGGCCUUGAGUGGAUAGGAUGGAUCAUCAUUGGCAAUGGUAACACAAACUACGCACAGAAGUUCCAGGGCCGAGUCACCAUUACCAGGGACACGUCCACGAGCACAGGCUACAUGGAGCUGAGCAGCCUGAGAUCCGAGGACACGGCCGUGUAUUACUGUGCGGCAGACACAGUGUGA